GGAAGGGGCGCGGUAGUGCCAUCGUCUCCCCCUGGAGAGAGGGAAGGAGACACGAGGGCGAGUCCCUAGCUGGAGUGGGAAGACCGGAGAGAAGCGGAAAGACGCUCCCGGGGAGCGCGCAGAAGGAACUUCCAGGCAGGCUGCAGUAGCCUGGAGCGCCUUAUGGAUAUUAACUCCCUCAACCCUGACGGCAGCCCAGUGGGGAGGGUGCACUUCCCUUCAAGUCUUACAGGUGGAGUCUCGCUCUGUCUCCCAGGCUGGAGUGCAGUGGCGCGAUCUCGGCUCACUGCAAGCUCUGCCUCCCGGGUUCACACCAUUCUCCUGCCUCAGCCUCCGGAGUAGCUGGGACUACAGGCGCCCGCCACCACGCCCGGCUAUUUUGUAUUUUUAGUAGAGACAGGGGUUUCACCGUGUUUGCCAGGACGGUCUUGAUCUCCUGACCUCGUGAUCCGCCCACCUCGGCCUCCCAAAGUGCUGGGAUUACAGGCGUGAGCCACCCUGCCAGGCCUCAUGUUUGCUUAUCUUAACCAAAAUGAGCCCUCGUUUCACUUUCCUGUUCUACCCUAAGGAAGAUAAAAUAUCAUUCCAACUUGGGGUAGAGGCAGGUGCCAGUACCCAAGACCCUGGGCUGUGCAGCAGGGGCUACUGUAAACCCAAGACCCUAAACUUCCUCCCUCUGCCAGAGCCAGGGAGCAGCUCUGACGCCCUCUAGCCCCUUCUCCGUUAGCCUCGAUUUCAAAUAAAAACACUGUGAACAUGAA
rnacentral:lncRNA from 1 species